rnacentral:rRNA from 1 species
AUUGAACGCUGGCGGCAUACCUUACACAUGCAAGUCGAACGGCAGCACGGGAGCAAUCCUGGUGGCGAGUGGCGAACGGGUGAGUAAAGUAUCGGAACGUGCCCAGUCGUGGGGGAUAACGUAGCGAAAGUUACGCUAAUACCGCAUACGAUCUAUGGAUGAAAGCGGGGGAUCGCAAGACCUCGCGCGAUUGGAGCGGCCGAUAUCAGAUUAGGUAGUUGGUGGGGUAAAGGCUCACCAAGCCGACGAUCUGUAGCUGGUCUGAGAGGACGACCAGCCACACUGGGACUGAGACACGGCCCAGACUCCUACGGGAGGCAGCAGUGGGGAAUUUUGGACAAUGGACGCAAGUCUGAUCCAGCCAUUCCGCGUGCAGGAUGAAGGCCCUCGGGUUGUAAACUGCUUUUGUACGGAACGAAAAGGUCUCUCUUAAUACGGGGGGCUCAUGACGGUACCGUAAGAAUAAGCACCGGCUAACUACGUGCCAGCAGCCGCAGUAA